AUCUCUCUCGAUGGGCAGAGACACGCUAUCCCAAAGAGCACACUUAGUAAACAGUGGUUACCAACAGUUCCCUAAGUAACUCAAGACAACGUCUGAGCCAGUAUUGAGCAUGUUUGGUUUCUCUUUUGGUUGCGCCACUGCUGUUGCUUCUCUUACGAGUAUUACCAAAUUUGGUCGAAUUUUUUUCUUACUUAGUAGCAGGAUUUUUUGUAAGAACACCCAGUCAAUAGUGGACAAUGCUGCUGGGUGGAGUCAUGAAGAUAAGUCAUUCUGGGCUCAAAGGCAUCAACGAUUCUGUUUGGAGCGUUGUAGGAGUUUUUUUAAUAAAUUGUAAAUAUUUUCAGCAUGUAAUCUCUCAUUUUUAAAUAUAUUUGUUAUCCAAGAGAAUUUUCAUUUAAGUCCUAAAUGUAAUUAGAAGGAAUCCACAUUUGUCAUAUGAUGUAAACUGGUUUCCUAAAAUAUAUAAUUCAAUGUUAAUUAU
rnacentral:lncRNA from 1 species